AUUGAACGCUGGCGGCAGGCCUAACACAUGCAAGUCGAGCGAGCGGCGGACGGGUGAGUAAUGUAUGGGGACUGCCCGAUAGAGGGGGAUAACUACUGGACACGGUGGCUAAUACCGCAUACUGUCGGAUAACCCAUAUGGGAUUAGCUAGUAGGUAAGGUAAUGGCUUACCUAGGCGACGAUCCCUAGCUGGUCUGGACGGAUGAUCAGCCACGUUGGGAUUGAGACACGGCCCAGAUUCCUACGGAGGAAGCAUUGGGGAAUAUGGCACAAUGGGCGCAAGCCUGCUGCAGCCAUGCCGAGGGUAUGAGGAAGGCCCUAGGGUUGUAAAGUACUUUCAGUCGGGAGGCGUUGCCGACAGAAGAAGCACCGGCUAAAUCCGUGCCAGCAGCCGCGGUAAUUC
rnacentral:rRNA from 1 species